UGUGGGCGUGUGUGGGUUUGUCUUUGCCUUGGCAGGGAGCUGGUCGCCCGGCAAGGCUUCACACCUGUUGCCAAUCCUCAUCUACACCUGGUCUUAAGAUGUGGGGCUCCCUGAGACUCGUCGCCAGAUUAUUCCUAGCCAUAACUUGUUGCCGAGUCCGGUGUCAUUUGCCCUGCUUGGAGGAUCUCUAGGAGAGCGGAUUGCCCCUGCCCAGGACUGCCUGCCCCUGCUCACAUCUCACCCACUACCAUUUUGUACUAGUCCUUUGUGAAUAAACUCUUUACUUUGA